UACGAAGGGGGCUAGCGUUGCUCGGAAUUACUGGGCGUAAAGCGCACGUAGGCGGCUUUCUAAGUCGGGGGUGAAAUCCUGGAGCUCAACUCCAGAACUGCCUUCGAUACUGGAGAGCUUGAGUCCGGGAGAGGUGAGUGGAACUGCGAGUGUAGAGGUGAAAUUCGUAGAAUAUUCGCAAGAACACCAGUGGCGAAGGCGGCUCAC
rnacentral:rRNA from 1 species